rnacentral:ncRNA from 1 species
UAAAUAAUGGGCGAUGGAGUUCGCCUUAAACUGCCUAAUCAUAGGCUAAUGACUCCUACCAGAAC